rnacentral:rRNA from 1 species
GACGAACCGUGCGAACGUUAUUCGGAAUCACUGGGCUUAAAGGGCGCGUAGGCGGCCUUCUAAGUCGAACGUGAAAUCCCCGGGCUCAACCCGGGAACUGCGUCCGAUACUGGGAGGCUUGAAUCCGGGAGAGGGAUGUGGAAUUCCAGGUGUAGCGGUGAAAUGCGUAGAUAUCUGGAGGAACACCGGUGGCGAAGGCGGCAUCCUGGACCGGUAUUGACGCUGAGGCGCGAAAGCGUGGGGAGCAAACAGG